rnacentral:rRNA from 1 species
GGGGAAUUGUUCGCAAUGGGCGCAAGCCUGACGACGCAACGCCGCGUGGAGGAUGAAGAUCUUCGGGUCGUAAACUCCUUUCGAUCGAGAAGAAUGCCUGCGGGGCUAACAUCCCUGUAGGGUGACGGUAUCGAGAGAAGAAGCCCCGGCUAACUCUGUGCCAGCAGCCGCGGUAAUACAGGGGGGGCAAGCGUUGUUCGGAAUUACUGGGCGUAAAGGGCGCGUAGGUGGUCUGAUAAGGAUGUGGUGAAAGCCCGGGGCUCAACCCCGGGUCGGCCGUGCCGACUGUUGGACUAGAGUGCUGUAGGGGCAGGCGGAAUUCCGGGUGUAGCGGUGGAAUGCGUAGAGAUCCGGAGGAAGACCGGUGGCGAAGGCGGCCUGCUGGGCAGUUACUGACACUGAGGCGCGACAGCGUGGGGAGCAAAC